UCCAUCGUGAGAUGGAAUCUGAAGAAAGUCCGUACGGCAAAACGCUACGUCGAGGAACACGAAGCGCAUAGAGGCGAUCCAUCAGGGUAAGGCGGCCAAAAUCGCAAACCACCUAUAGCGAUGAGAUGAAACUCAUCGAGAAAAUGAUCGAGAAAGAAAAUCUG
rfam:Proteobacteria bacterium SG_bin7 2099, whole genome shotgun sequence.